CCUCGCGGGAGCAGCGCCCGCCGGCCCGCGGAUGCUCUGAGCGCCCCCGGCGCCCCCGCCUCCCGGGAAGAAGCGGCAGCCCCUCCCCGGGCUCCGCUAGGGCGCUCAGGCGGCCGCCGCGGCCACCUCCCCAUCGCUAGGACCCCGGCCGGCCACGGAGCAGGGGGCCUUCGGGGGCCGGACGUGGUCGCGCGAGACUUGGGCGCUCGCAGAGCCCCGGAGGGGCCGGCCGUGCGGGGCCGCCCUGGCUCUCCCGCCCUUCGCGCUGUCCCGCUGCGCGCCGCCGCCCCCAGGUUGCGGACCGUCGGGCCGCUGCUCCCGCGCAGAGCCGGUCCCCAGGUUAGGCGGACGACGGGCAGGGCUCCCGGGAGAGGGCACCCGGUGUUCGGAGACGGCCCACGCGGAGUCGCCGAGUGUCGGGCCGGCGGAAGCCCUGGGAAGGGCCCCGACGGGACCUCGACGGCCUCACCUGCUGCGGGUCCGCUCGGGACGGCCCGUCCCCGUCUGCCGCUGCCCGCUGUGCGCGCACACCCUCCCCAAGGUAUUUUUAGGUCUGAAAGGAGUCUCUUCCAGGCAACAUAUAGAUGGGUCUUAUAUUUUUAUCCACUCUGGGAAGUAACAGCUCCUAAGCUCCUUAGAUGCUGCACUAAAAACUGCAAGUUGACUGUCUUUUCUUCCUUGUUCAAGCAUUGUUACCACAGUGUUUUGGGCUAAUGUACUGGAAACCUUAAAGUAAGUUCUAACUGCACUAUUAUUCCAAUUUUUUUAAACCUAAUUUUUUCACUUAUUUUUUCAAAACGUUUUUGCUGUUCCCUUUGCCCUUUCUCUCUGCCAUUGCUUCCAUUAUAUCCCAGGUUAUUGUUUCCUCCAUGUCUUCCAAUUCUUCCUGUUGAAAAAAGGCACCAAAUGUAGGGGGUGCAUAGGGGCUGGGAUUUACUUCCUGUUUUGUUAAUUGAGUCACAAGCACAUAAGGCUUCAUCUCUCCCAGAAAAGGUCUUUUUUUCUUCUAAAGACAUAUGGGCUACCCUAGCCCUGUAGCAUAAACCAACUUAAUUAUUCUGAACACCAUUUUUAUGGUUUUCUUCUCUUACUCAAGAACCUACCGGAUUUUUCCUGCCAUAGAAAGUUCAAUCUAAAAUGUCUUUGUCUUGGGCAGCCAUAGAAAGUUCAAUCUAAAAUGUCUUUGUCUUGGGCAGCCCCAUUGGCGCAGCGGUUAGCGCCGCCUGCAGCUCAGGGUGUGAUCCUGGAGACCGGGGAUCGAGUCCCACAUCGGGCUCCCUGCAUGGAGCCUGCUUCUCCCUCUGCCUGUGUCUCUGCCUCUGUGUGUGUGUGUGUGUGUGUGUGUGUGUCUUAUGAAUGAAUAAAUAAGAUCUUUAAAAAAUAAUAAUAAAAUAA
rnacentral:lncRNA from 1 species